GUGAUAAGCCGGAGGAAAGGUGGGGAUGACGUCAAGUUCUCAUUGGCCUUACGGGCUGGGCUACACACGUGCUACAAUGGCGGUGACAGUGGGCAGCAAGGCAGUAAUGCCAAGCUAAUCUCAAAAAGCCGUCUCAGUUCGGAUUGAGGUCUGCAACUCGACCUCAUGAAGUUGGAAUCGCUAGUAAUCGCGGAUCAGAACGCCGCGGUGAAUACGUUCCCGGGCCUUGUACACACCGCCCGUCACACCAUGGGAGUUGGUUUUACCCGAAGGCGAUGCGCUAACCGCAAGGGGGCAGUCGACCACGGUAGGGUCAGCGACUGGGGUGAAGUCGUAACAAGGUAACC
rnacentral:rRNA from 1 species